rnacentral:lncRNA from 1 species
CGACAGCCACGUCGCCAUGACGCCCAGGUGGUUGCCGGCCCGGUCGCGCGCGCGCACGCACCACGCGCGCGCCCUCUGCGGUCGUCGCAUAGCCGUGUCGUCGCUGAAAAACGGCACACUCUCGUCGCCGUCGGUGCCGUCGACGGCAUAGGGCCAAUCGUCGCUGCCCGUGCGUCUGACAUUGUCGUCGGGCCAGCGUGAUAGAAUACGCGCGCGGCCGCGUAAUAAGGGCGACGCCAUCCCGACGGUCUCUCUUGCGCGUGCCCGUGAGAUGCGCUCUCUGUCCGUCUCUUUUUUUUUCCCUACUCCUCGCACCAAAACCCAACGGCGCAGUGAGCGAGCGCGCGCGUACGAUCGGGGUCGAGGUCUCGUCGCCCGUCUUUUUUUCCCUUGAACACGCGACCGCUCGCGUGUCGCCACCGCGCGAGCGGCCCGCAGCGAUGGCAGCGCCCGCCGUCAGAGGAAAAAAAACUGUCUGUGCGGCCCCCGGUCUGUGCUGCAACAAAAGAUUAAAAAAGAUAAACAUAUGUUCAUCUUUUUUAAUCUUUUUUUCUCUUUGUUUCCCUCUUUUUCUUUCGUCGCGUGAGCCCUCUGCCCGUCUCGCGCGGCCGGGGGCGCCACCGUCAGCACUGCAAAAAAAGUGCAUUUUCGCGAUGACCCUUCUUUUUUUUUGAAAAAGACAAUCAGGCC